rnacentral:lncRNA from 1 species
CCAUGGAGAAUGAUGGUCAGACUUCCAUUCCUGAUGAUCCCCUUCUUCACCAUUGCCACGAACAUCCCAUAGUCAAUUUGAACAUCCUAAGCAAAUGUAGACAUGAUCAAUUUGCAUUUCAGAUUUGUAGUAAUUAGCGUAAUACUAUAGACUAAUCAACAGAGUUAUUUGAAACUAAUUAAUUAAUUUGAGAUGGUGACUGCACUAAAUAAACAUACGCAUGUUCUCAUUGCCGACCUCCCUGAUGAUGUCGCGAUACCGACGUCAGCUUGUAUGUUGUACUCCCAGCACUCCUCUUCCAGCAGGUCAACAGUGAUACGCCCAGAUCAAGCAAGAAUAAUGACACCCCAGCUAUUUCCAUCGCCAACUCCUUAAAGAACGUGACGAAUAACUAAUCAAUCAUCAAUAAAAUUGGAAAAUAAAACAGGA